GUGAGGAAUAUUGGUCAAUGGGCGGGAGCCUGAACCAGCCAAGUCGCGUGAAGGAAGAAGGAUCUAUGGUUCGUAAACUUCUUUUGCAGGGGAAUAAAGUGCGGGACGUGUCCUGUUUUGUAUGUACCCUGAGAAUAAGGAUCGGCUAACUCCGUGCCAGCAGCCGCGGUAAUACGGAGGAUCCGAGCGUUAUCCGGAUUUAUUGGGUUUAAAGGGUGCGUAGGUGGUUUGAUAAGUCAGCGGUGAAAGUUUGCAGCUUAACUGUAAAAAUGCCGUUGAAACUGUCGGACUUGAGUGUAAAUGAGGUAGGCGGAAUGCGUGGUGUAGCGGUGAAAUGCAUAGAUAUCACGCAGAACUCCGAUUGCGAAGGCAGCUUACUAAGCUACAACUGACACUGAAGCACGAAAGCGUGGGGAUCAAACAGGAUUAGAAACCCCGGUAGUCC
rnacentral:rRNA from 1 species